rnacentral:rRNA from 1 species
AACGAACGCUGGCGGCAUGCCUAACACAUGCAAGUCGAACGAGAUCUUCGGGUCUAGUGGCGCACGGGCGCGUAACGCGUGGGAAUCUGCCCUUUGGUUCGGAAUAACAGUUGGAAACGACUGCUAAUACCGGAUGAUGACGAAAGUCCAAAGAUUUAUCGCCAGAGGAUGAGCCCGAGUAGGAUUAGCUAGUUGGUGUGGUAAAGGCGCACCAAGGCGACGAUCCUUAGCUGGUCUGAGAGGAUGAUCAGCCACACUGGGACUGAGACACGGCCCAGACUCCUACGGGAGGCAGCAGUGGGGAAUAUUGGACAAUGGGCGAAAGCCUGAUCCAGCAAUGCCGCGUGAGUGAUGAAGGCCUUAGGGUUGUAAAGCUCUUUUACCCGGGAUGAUAAUGACAGUACCGGGAGAAUAAGCUCCGGCUAACUCCGUGCCAGCAGCCGCCGUAA